rnacentral:rRNA from 1 species
AGUGAACGCUGGCGGUAGGCCUAACACAUGCAAGUCGAACGGCAGCACAGUAAGAGCUUGCUCUUACGGGUGGCGAGUGGCGGACGGGUGAGGAAUACAUCGGAAUCUACUUUUUCGUGGGGGAUAACGUAGGGAAACUUACGCUAAUACCGCAUACGACCUACGGGUGAAAGCAGGGGAUCUUCGGAUCUUGCGCGAUUGAAUGAGCCGAUGUCGGAUUAGCUAGUUGGCGGGGUAAAGGCCCACCAAGGCGACGAUCCGUAGCUGGUCUGAGAGGAUGGUCAGCCACACUGGAACUGAGACACGGUCCAGACUCCUACGGGAGGCAGCAGUGGGGAAUAUUGGACAAUGGGCGCAAGCCUGAUCCAGCCAUACCGCGUGGGUGAAGAAGGCCUUCGGGUUGGAAAGCCCUUUUGUUGGGAAAGAAAAGCAGCAGGUUAAUACCCCGCUGUUCUGACGGUACCCAAAGAAUAAGCACCGGCUAACUUCGUG